GUGCUUGCUUUGGCAGCACUUAUACUAAAAAUUGGAAUGAUACAGAGAAGAUCAGCAUGGCCCCUAUGCAAGGAUGACACUCAAAUUUGUGAAGCAUUCCAUAUUUUU
ensembl:snRNA U6 U6 spliceosomal RNA